UGAGACACGCCCCAGACUCUACGGGAGGCAGCAGUGGGGAAUAUUGCACAAUGGGCGCAAGCCUGAUGCAGCAACGCCGCGUGGGGGAUGACGGCCUUCGGGUUGUAAACCUCUUUAGUAGGGAAGAAGCCUUCGGGUGACGGUACCUGCAGAAAAAGCACCGGCUAACUACGUGCCAGCAGCCGCGGUAAUACGUAGGGUGCAAGCGUUAUCCGGAAUUAUUGGGCGUAAAGAGCUCGUAGGCGGUUUGUCACGUCUGCUGUGAAAACUGGAGGCUCAACUUCCAGCGUGCAGUGGGUACGGGCGGGCUAGAGUGCGGUAGGGGAGAUUGGAAUUCCUGGUGUAGCGGUGGAAUGCGCAGAUAUCAGGAGGAACACCGAUGGCGAAGGCAGAUCUCUGGGCCGUUACUGACGCUGAGGAGCGAAAGAGUGGGGAGCGAACAGGCUUAGAUACCCUGGUAGUCCACUCCGUAAACGUUGGGAACUAGUUGUGGGGGCCUUUCCACGGUCUCCGUGACGCAGCUAACGCAUUAAGUUCCCCGCCUGGGGAGUACGGCCGCAAGGCUAAAACUCAAAGGAAUUGACGGGGACCCGCACAAGCGGCGGAGCAUGCGGAUUAAUUCGAUGCAACGCGAAGAACCUUACCAAGGCUUGACAUAUACCGGACGCGGCUGGAAACAGUCGUUCCCUUGUGGUCGGUAUACAGGUGGUGCAUGGUUGUCGUCAGCUCGUGUCGUGAGAUGUUGGGUUAAGUCCCGCAACGAGCGCAACCCUCGUUCUCUGUUGCCAGCACGUUAUGGUGGGAACUCAGGGAAUACUGCCGGGGUCAACUCGGAGGAAGGUGGGGAUGACGUCAAAUCAUCAUGCCCCUUAUGUCUUGGGCUUCACGCAUGCUACAAUGGCCGGUACAAUGGGCAGCGAUACCGUGAGGUGGAGCGAAUCCCAAAAAGCCGGUCCCAGUUCGGAUCGUAGUCUGCAACUCGACUACGUGAAGUCGGAGUCGCUAGUAAUCGCAGAUCAG
rnacentral:rRNA from 1 species